rnacentral:rRNA from 1 species
GAGUUUGAUUAUGGCUCAGAUUGAACGCUGGCGGCAUGCUUUACACAUGCAAGUCGAACGGCAGCACAGGGAGCUUGCUCCUGGGUGGCGAGUGGCGAACGGGUGAGUAAUGUAUCGGAACGUGCCUGGUAGUGGGGGAUAACUACUCGAAAGAGUGGCUAAUACCGCAUGAGAUCUUUGGAUGAAAGCGGGGGACCUUCGGGCCUCGCGCUACUGGAGCGGCCGAUAUCAGAUUAGGUUGUUGGUGGGGUAAAGGCCUACCAAGCCUGCGAUCUGUAGCUGGUCUGAGAGGACGACCAGCCACACUGGGACUGAGACACGGCCCAGACUCCUACGGGAGGCAGCAGUGGGGAAUUUUGGACAAUGGGCGCAAGCCUGAUCCAGCAAUGCCGCGUGCAGGACGAAGGCCUUCGGGUUGUAAACUGCUUUUGUACAGAACGAAAAGUCUCUGGCUAAUAUCUAGAGAUCA